rnacentral:rRNA from 1 species
GGGGGAGGGAAAAGAAACCAAGGGGGCUUACCUUAGUAACGGGGAGUGAAGCGGUAAAAGCUCAAAUUUAAAAUCUAGUACUUUCAGCCCCCGAGUUGUAAUUUGAAGAAUUUGUCUUUGAUUAGGUCCUUGUCUAUGUUCCUUGGAACAGGUCGUCAUAGAGGGUGAGAAUCCCGUUUGGGGAGGAUACCUUUUCUCUGUAAGACUUUUUCGAAGAGUCGAGUUUUUUGGGAAUGCAGCUCAAAGUGGGGGGUAAAUUCCAUUUAAAGCUAAAUAUGGGCGAGAGACCGAUAGCGAACAAGUACAGUGAUGGAAAGAUGAAAAGAACUUUGAAAAGAGAGUGAAAAAGUACGUGAAAUUGUUGAAAGGGAAGGGCUUUUGAUCAGACAUGGUGUUUUUUGCAUGCACUCGCCUCUCGUGGGCUUGGGCCUCUCAAAAAUUUCACUGGGCCAACAUCAAUUCUGGCAGCAGGAUAAAUCAUUAAGAAGGUAGCUACUUCGGUAGUGUUAUAGCUUUUUGGAAUACUGUUACCCGGGAUUGAGGACUGCGCUUCGGCAGAGUAUGUUGGC